CACGUAUUUAGCCGUUCCUUUCUGGUAAGAUACCGUCACACAUUGAACAGUUACUCUCAAUGUCAUUCUUCUCUUACAACAGUGUUUUACGAGCCGAAACCCUUCAUCACACACGCGGCGUUGCUCCAUCAGGCUUUCGCCCAUUGUGGAAGAUUCCCUACUGCUGCCUCUCGUAGGAGUAUGGGCCGUGUCUCAGUCCCAUUGUGGCCGAUCAGUCUCUCAACUCGGCUAUGCAUCAUCGUCUUGGUGAGCCAUUACCUCACCAACUAACUAAUGCACCGCGGGACCAUCUCUUAGUGAUAGCAGAACCAUCUUUUAAGUAGCAACCAUGCGGUUGCUAUUGUUAUACGGUAUUAGCAUCUGUUUCCAAAUGUUAUCCCCUGCUAAGAGGUAGUUUCCCACGUGUUACUCACCCGUUCGCCACUCUUUGCAAUGUCCAUCAUCAUAUCUGAGCAAGCUCUCAAAUCAGUUGAAA
rnacentral:rRNA from 1 species